rnacentral:rRNA from 1 species
CCUACGGGAGGCAGCAGUGAGGAAUAUUGGUCAAUGGGCGCGAGCCUGAACCAGCCAAGUCGCGUGAGGGAAGACGGUCCUAUGGAUUGUAAACCUCUUUUGUCGGGGAGCAAAAGACGCCACGCGUGGCGUUCCGAGAGUACCCGAAGAAAAAGCAUCGGCUAACCCCGUGCCAGCAGCCGCGGUAAUACGGAGGAUGCGAGCGUUAUCCGGAUUUAUUGGGUUUAAAGGGUGCGCAGGCGGAAGAUCAAGUCAGCGGUAAAAUUGAGGGGCUCAACCUCUUCGAGCCGUUGAAACUGGGUGUCUUGAGUGGGUGAGAAGUAUGCGGAAUGCGUGGUGUAGCGGUGAAAUGCAUAGAUAUCACGCAGAACUCCGAUUGCGAAGGCAGCAUACCGGCGCUCAACUGACGCUCAGGCACGAAAGUGUGGGUAUCGAACAGGAUUAGAUACCCCUGUAGUC